GCGGAUUGGGGAGGAACACGUGAGCAACCUGCCUUGGAGUCGGGGAAAACCGUUGGAAACGACGGCUAAUACCGGAUGUGGCGCCCGGAGACAUCUUCGGAGCGCUAAAGGGGGCCGCAAGGCUCUCGCUCCUAGAGGGGCUCGCGCACCAUCAGCUUGUUGGCGGGGUAACGGCCCACCAAGGCCUACGGUUAGCUGGUCUGAGAGGAUGACCAGCCCCACUGGGACUGAGAUACUGCCCAGACUCCUACGGGAGGCUGCAGUCGACGAUCAUNUGCAAUGGGCGAAAGCCUGACAAUGCGACGCUGCGUGGAGGAUGAAGGCCUUCGGGUUGUAAACUCCUGUCAUGGGGGAACAGGCGAGGAUACCUAAUACGUAUCUUAGUUGAGUGUACCCCAAGAGGAAUUGGCGGCUA
rnacentral:rRNA from 1 species